GGGUUCGCGCGCCAGGUCAAAGAUCGAUGAUAUAGGAAUUUAUCGUGAAGCCGUGUAAAAAUGGCGUCCAAAAAUGCGAAUGGAUGGCAGUCUUUCGAAAAAAACGCCAAAAGUAUUUGGAGUAGUUGGAACGCGAAUGGAGGCACGGCGUCUAACUUGGGAAGCCAUAGACUUUGUAGCCAUCGGCUAAACCAUGCGUGUAGUCCCUAUUUAGCGUACCAGUUGACGCAGAACGGAACGAUAAGCUUCUUAGCGAAGCACCACAUCUACCAAGGGAUGCAGCUAACGAUUGAUUACAGAUUGAUCGAAGAUGACAACUGUUGACACGUCUGUAUGUUGACAUAAGAGCGAUAAUAAGUGCGAGAUAAUGAUAAAGGCAGGUGCGCUUAUCGAUUAAACCGAUAAGCUGAUCGACGGUGCCAUAAAACACCGUAAAGAGCUAGAGAGAGAGAGAGAGAGUUAAAAGGAAUGUUCGGAGCGGUCAGGGUUCGCGCGCCAGGUCAAAGAUCGAUGAUAUAGGAAUUUAUCGUGAAGCCGUGUAAAAAUGGCGUCCAAAAAUGCGAAUGGAUGGCAGUCUUUCGAAAAAAACGCCAAUAGUAUUUGGAGUAGUUGGAACGCGAAUGGAGGCACGGCGUCUAACUUGGGAAGCCAUCGACUUUGUAGCCAUCGGCUAAACCAUGCGUGUAGUCCCAAUUUAGCGUACCAGUUGACGCAGAACGGAACGAUAAGCUUGUUAGCGAAGCACCACAUCUACCAAGGGAUGCAGCUAACGAUUGAUUACAGAUUGAUCGAAGAUGACAACUGUUGACACGUCUGUAUGUUGACAUAAGAGCGAUAAUAAGUGCGAGAUAAUGAUAAAGGCAGGUGCGCUUAUCGAUUAAACCGAUAAGCUGAUCGACGGUGCCAUAAAACACCGUAAAGAGCUAGAGAGAGAGAGAGAGUUAAGCUUGCUGCUUGCUGCAGUGUGCUAGUGUAUAACUUAAAAUGUGUAGUUUGUAGUUUGUGCAAGUGAAAAAUAUGUGUUAUUGAAUCUUGACUCAACAAAUUGAAUUUCAUCGUGCCAGUAAUGUAAGAAUUAUUAAAAAUGAUUUCACUUUAUGUAAUAAUUUUUCCAAAUUUAAAGUGG